AGUGAACGCUGGCGGUAGGCCUAACACAUGCAAGUCGAACGGCAGCACAGUAAGAGCUUGCUCUUACGGGUGGCGAGUGGCGGACGGGUGAGGAAUACAUCGGAAUCUACUUUUUCGUGGGGGAUAACGUAGGGAAACUUACGCUAAUACCGCAUACGACCUACGGGUGAAAGCAGGGGAUCUUCGGGCCUUGCGCGAUUGAAAGAGCCGAUGUCGGAUUAGCUAGUUGGCGGGGUAAAGGCCCACCAAGGCGACGAUCCGUAGCUGGUCUGAGAGGAUGAUCAGCCACACUGGAACUGAGACACGGUCCAGACUCCUACGGGAGGCAGCAGUGGGGAAUAUUGGACAAUGGGCGCAAGCCUGACCCAGCCAUACCGCGUGAGUGAAGAAGGCCUUCGGGUUGUAAAGCCCUGUUGUUGGGAAAGAAAAGCAGCAGGUUAAUACCCCGCUGUUCUGACGGUACCCAAAGAAUAAGCACCGGCUAACUUCGUG
rnacentral:rRNA from 1 species